UACAGAGGGUGCAAGCGUUGUUCGGAAUUAUUGGGCGUAAAGGGCGCGUAGGCGGUGCGGUAAGUCUGCGGUGAAAUCUCCCGGCUCAACUGGGAGUCUGCCGUGGAAACUGCCGUGCUUGAGUGUGGGAGAGGUGAGUGGGAAUUCCCGGUGUAGCGGUGAAAUGCGUAGAGAUCGGGAGGAAUACCUGUGGCGAAGGCGGCCCUACUGGGCCGGACCUGACGCUGAGACGCGAAGGCGUGGGGAGCGAACGGG
rnacentral:rRNA from 1 species